ensembl:lncRNA
CUGGAGCACAGGCCUUAUGAGGAGCGGCUGAAGGAGCUGGGAUUGUUCAGUUUGGAGAAGAGGAGGCUCAGGGGAGACCUUAUUGCUCUCUAUAACUACCUGAAGGGAGGUUGUAGUGAGCUGGGGGUCAGCCUCUUCUCUCGUGUGACUAGUGAUAGGACUAGAGGGAAUGGCUUCAAGCUGCACCAGGGAAGAUUCAGGCUGGACAUUAGGAAAUAACUACUUCUCUGACAGGGUGGUCAGGCACUGGAAUGGGCUGCCCAGAGAGGUGGUGGAGUCACCGACCCUGGAGGUGUUCAAAGAGCAUUUGGAUGUCGUGUCGAGGGACAUGGUUUAGCGAGAACCAUUG